rnacentral:tRNA from 1 species
GAAUUUGUGAUGUAAUUGGAAGCAUACUCGACCCAUAUUCGAGAGGUCCAGGGUUCGAGUCCUGGCGAGGGCG